CGAACCUACUAACACAAUAAAUAAUACAAUGUGUAUAACAAUGUGAAUAACAUAAAUACAUAUAUUUUUUCUUUAUUUGUUCAAAAUCACAUUUAUCCUAGAAUGAUUACAUCGCCAUAUUCUGUUCAUCAUAUAUCAAGUUACAAAUACAAAGACGAGCAGAAUUGACAAGUGAAUAAUAGAUAAUUUUUCAAAACACAGAGAAUUAAAAAUUUUUUCUAUUUAACAAUAUAUAUGUUUCAACAUGCUAUCAACAGAUUACGUAAUUAUUCAAGUUUAUUCAAGAUUUAGUAUCGUUGUCGUUCUAUAUGACAUUUUUUUUCAACAUUUCGUUAAUUUCCGCUUCGUUCAAUAUUUAGAGACAUGCCCAGUCCCGUUUAAAACGCGCCUUUUUGCCGCGUGCAUCGUAUCCGCUGCUAGGAUAACGUUGGUACGUGAAGCAGGGUGCAGUAGUUGAUACUCGUUAAAGUAGUAACAACUUUACCGACAAUACCGUUGGGUGUAUAAUAUACGCGCAUUGGAAUGUAUGCAAACUAGGCUAGAAUACAAAUCAGAUGCUGAGAGGUUUGGCGUGAAGUUUAAGAAGUUUUGUCUACCCGAAUGAAUAGCGUGGUGGAUAUCAUGGAUAAAUGACUCGAGAGUCUGGGUCAGGACUAAAGAGGUUAUUACUUUUCUUAAGAUGCCGGAAACUUGAAUAAUUCUUUCAUUAAAAUUGCGCAAUAUUAUACAUCACAGUAAGUUUGUUCAGUUGGAAUAUUCUCAAUUAUUUUUAGGUACGUGAUAAAACUUUAUUUAUUAAUGUUGCGCCAUUGUAUCAUAUUAUUAGAUCACGUAAUCAGUGAUAUAUUUUUGAGGUUAGAGAAUUUCAAAUAUUUUAAAGUAAACGAUCUCGUAUGUUUGAAUAAAAAAUUUUAUUUAAUAAUCCAUAUUUGUCUGUCAUAUGAGAUCAUUCAACAUUAAAUGAUGGAGCAAAAAGACUUUGUCAUGGGAGAUGCACGAAGUGUUCAUUUGAAUCGAUACAACAUUGCAAUUCUUAAGCUAUGGAAGUUGUAGUAGCGACAUGAUGGAUGUCCCAUAUAUUAUGCACAUGGUGUAAGAGCUAUCUUCCAAUGAGAUUUUUCCGUAUAGAUGCGAGAUUGAUGAUAUUCUCUAUCUAGAUAAACUAUGCAUAAAUAGUGCCAAGUUUACACAUAUACUUCAAAUUUAAUUGUUCCUUUUACUACAUAUAUAAUGCUAAUCUAUACUUAAUAUAAUAUUCUUAUACAGAAAUAAACACAUAGAUAGACUGGAUACAUAGAUAAAUUACACACUAAUGUUAACUUCAAGAUAAAAGAUUCGUUGGCGAAACGUUUCUCAGCUAGAAGAAACGAGGAGAAGAAAGAAGAAAGAAGAAAGAAAAAUGAAAGGUGGCAUCUCGACGGUGCGGGUAUCCAGGCGAGGUCGACCCUUAUCGUUUCGCGAAUGGCCACGUGAUCGAAUUUAGCCGAGAUUGAAGCUGACCGUGCACGGUCGUACAGGACUUCCGGUUUUUCACGGAAGACCCGGAGUAGUGUGCCAAAUCCGCACGACGUGCAGCAACUUCGCCCGGUACCUGCUACCUGAUAUGAUUUUCGGCAUGUCUUCGCUCAGCCCCGGGAAAAUGGAAUUUCCUCUCGUCUCAUUUUCGUAUGCGUACUCUUCUAUGUAGUACGUGUGUUCGCAAUCCUGACGAACGAUAGAUAUAUCGCUUAAGUAAAACGUCAAAUUCGUAUUUAUAAUAAUAUUCCAUCUUUUGAAAGAAUGAUGGUAAAAUUAGAAGUUUCCAGAAAUGAUACGAUUUCCAGAUAACUGUGCGUGAUGAUUUUACUUUAAAAUGAUUAAUGAUAUGAUCAACUCGUUGGCAUAUAUGUUGUCACAAAGAGAUUAAAAAUGAUAAAUUUAUACCGGGAAUAUUGUGGAAAUUUUAAAAAAUAUUAUUGAUCAAAUAUCAUUUAUUAAAGCUUGUUUUAAAGAACUUUAAACGAGCGAAGAAACGCUGGAAUAAUACUCGGUAUAAUUACGCCAAGGUGUUUAAAACAGAUUAAAACUGAUAAUCGUAAAAGAAAUAGGAGGAAGCACAUAGGCGAAAUAACCGUGCUACCAAUUACGUCGUUGACUCCUUAUUACACGGAAGUAAUCAGCCUAUCAGUAUCAUCUGUGCAACUCGAUCUGAAAAAAGGAAAAACGACGAGAGUUGGGGGUGAUGGGACACGGGAAAAUCAUUAUUGGCCGCAAUCACGCGAAGUUCGCACUGUGUCGAAGUUUACACUCGAAUUCACCCUCGUGUUCAAAACCACUCUUCUUUCGACAACACGCUUUUCAUGUGGCACCGCGAACUGACCAAAUUGAAAACAGGGGGAAAAUGUAGAGAUAUAAAAAGAGAAAAAAAAAGAGAGUUCGUUAAGUGAAUAAUUGUUCAUAUGGUGUAUUUGGAUAAUGAGUAGAAAUAUAACAAAUACUCAGAAAUAAAAACAUGUAUGGAAGAUUUAAAAGUCAAUCGAUUAUAUUUAUAGAUGAGAAUGUAGAGCUCGCCUCGCAAUAUGUGAAAUGUUGUGAAAUCCUUGCGUUGGUGUCGUUGGGGGCAACAAUACCGAGGUUCGGUUCGAGGGCAGGGUGAACGAGAAAUGUUUACUCGAACUUUCGAGAGAUUGUCGUCCGCGAGAGAGAGAACAGGAAGAGCGACCCGUUUUAUCCGUAAAACGGUGUUUCACUCCGGAUGGGAUUUUUGGAAAAUUUCAUUUCGCUCGUUCGGGUAAUGUGAUAACGGCCACGUGAAUUUGUAUGCGUUAUAGAAAUGUUUAUAAAAUUGGAAAUGAGAAGGAAAGUAAAAAGUAAUACAUAUCUUUAACUACGUUGCUGCUUCUUCACUUUGUAUAUUAAUUAGAAAUUGUUUAACAAUUGAUAUGUGUACUUUUGUUAAGUAUCAUUUAUAAAAAAUGUUACACAUAGUGUGUGAA